AUUGAACGCUGGCGGCAUGCCUUACACAUGCAAGUCGAACGGAAGCGCGGGAGCAAUCCUGGCUGCGAGUGGCGAACGGGUGAGUAAUACAUCGGAAUGUGCCCAAUCGUGGGGGAUAACGCAGCGAAAGAUGUGCUAAUACCACAUACGAUCUACGGAUGAAAGCAGGGGAUCGCAAGACCUUGCGCGAAUGGAGCGUCCGAUGGCAGAUUAGGUAGUUGGUUUGGUAAAGGCUCACCAAGCCUUCGAUCUGUAGCUGGUCUGAGAGGACGACCAGCCACACUGGGACUGAGACACGGCCCAGACUCCUACGGGAGGCAGCAGUGGGGAAUUUUGGACAAUGGGCGAAAGCCUGAUCCAGCCAUGCCGCGUGCAGGAUGAAGGCCUUCGGGUUGUAAACUGCUUUUGUACGGAACGAAACGGUCUUUUCUAAUAAAGAAGGCUAAUGACGGUACCGUAAGAAUAAGCACCGGCUAACUACGUG
rnacentral:rRNA from 1 species